rnacentral:tRNA from 1 species
UNGGUGGAGCAGCUUGGUAGCUCGUCGGGCUCAUAACCCGAAGGUCGUCGGUUCAAAUCCGGCCCCCGCAACCA